GAUGAACGCUGGCGGCGUGCUUAACACAUGCAAGUCGAACGAUGAUGCCCAGCUUGCUGGGUGGAUUAGUGGCGAACGGGUGAGUAACACGUGAGUAACCUGCCCUUGACUCUGGGAUAAGCCUGGGAAACUGGGUCUAAUACCGGAUACGACCAUCUGGCGCAUGUCAUGGUGGUGGAAAGCUUUUGUGGUUUUGGAUGGACUCGCGGCCUAUCAGCUUGUUGGUGGGGUAAUGGCCUACCAAGGCGACGACGGGUAGCCGGCCUGAGAGGGUGACCGGCCACACUGGGCAAGAAACACGGCCAGGACUCCUACGGAAGGAGGCGGGGGGAAAUAUUGCACAAGGGGCGCAGGCCUAAUCCCGCACCGCGGCGUGAGGGAUGCCGCCCUGCGUUUUGUAAACCUUUUCCUGUGGGAAACAGGCGAAAGGGGCGGCACCUAAAAGAGAGGCCCGGGCAAACAACGUG
rnacentral:rRNA from 1 species